rnacentral:rRNA from 1 species
CGCAUGGUGGGUGGUGGAAAGGGUUUUACUGGUUUUGGAUGGGCUCACGGCCUAUCAGCUUGUUGGUGGGGUAAUGGCUCACCAAGGCGACGACGGGUAGCCGGCCUGAGAGGGUGACCGGCCACACUGGGACUGAGACACGGCCCAGACUCCUACGGGAGGCAGCAGUGGGGAAUAUUGCACAAUGGGCGGAAGCCUGAUGCAGCGACGCCGCGUGAGGGAUGACGGCCUUCGGGUUGUAAACCUCUUUCAGUAGGGAAGAAGCGAGAGUGACGGUACCUGCAGAAGAAGCGCCGGCUAACUACGUGCCAGCAGCCGCGGUAAUACGUAGGGCGCAAGCGUUGUCCGGAAUUAUUGGGCGUAAAGAGCUCGUAGGCGGUUUGUCGCGUCUGCUGUGAAAGCCCGGGGCUCAACCCCGGGUCUGCAGUGGGUACGGGCAGACUAGAGUGCAGUAGGGGAGACUGGAAUUCCUGGUGUAGCGGUGAAAUGCGCAGAUAUCAGGAGGAACACCGAUGGCGAAGGCAGGUCUCUGGGCUGUUACUGACGCUGAGGAGCGAAAGCAUGGGGAGCGAACAGGAUUAGAUACCCUGGUAGUCCAUGCCGUAAACGUUGGGCACUAAGUGUGGGGGACAUUCCACGUUUUCCGCGCCGUAGCUAACGCAUUAAGUGCCCCGCCUGGGGAGUACGGCCGCAAAGGCUAAAAACUCAAAGGAAUUGACGGGGGGCCCGCACAAGCGGCGGAGCAUGCGGAUUAAAUUCGAUGCAACGCGAAGAACCCUUACCAAAGGCUUGAACAAUUCACCGGGAUCGGCCCCAGAGAUGGGGUUUUCCCUUUCGGGGGCU